UACGGGGGGGGUAAGCGUUGUUCGGAAUUACUGGGCGUAAAGGGCGCGUAGGCGGCCUGCUAAGUCGAACGUGAAAUCCCUGGGCUCAACCCAGGAACUGCGUCCGAUACUGGUUGGCUUGAAUCCGGGAGAGGGACGUGGAAUUCCAGGUGUAGCGGUGAAAUGCGCAGAUAUCAGGAGGAACACCGGUGGCGAAGGCGGAUCUCUGGGACAUUACUGACGCUGAGGAGCGAAAGCGUGGGGAGCGAACAGG
rnacentral:rRNA from 1 species